UACCUGGUUGAUCCUGCCAGUAGUCAUAUGCUUGUCUCAAAGAUUAAGCCAUGCAAGUCUAAGUACGAGCUCUCGUACAGUGAAACUGCGAAUGGCUCAUUAAAUCAGUUAUGGUUCAUUUGAUCGUACAGUUUACUUGGAUAACUGUGGUAAUUCUAGAGCUAAUACAUGCGAGAAGCGCCGACCUCGCGGGAGGCGUGCAUUUAUCAGACCAAAAACCGGCCGCGUCUUCGGGCGCGUUCGCCUUGGUGACUCUGGAUAACUUUGCGGAUCGCACGGUCUAGCACCGGCGACGGAUCAUUCAAGUGUCUGCCCUAUCAACUUUCGUCGGUACGGUAUUUGCCUACCGAGGUUCUUACGGGUGACGGGGAAUCAGGGUUCGAUUCCGGAGAGGGAGCCUGAGAAACGGCUACCACAUCCAAGGAAGGCAGCAGGCGCGCAAAUUACCCAUUCCCGACGCGGGGAGGUAGUGACGAAAAAUAACAAUGCAGGACUCGUUCGAGGCCCUGUAACUAGAAUGAGUACACUUUAAAAGCUUUAACGAGUAU
rnacentral:ncRNA from 1 species